AUAAAUAUUUUCAAACGAAAAAAAAAAAUCUGUUCUUAUCAGUUUUAUAUCUGAUACGUCCCCUACCCGGGGUCCAUAUAUUAAAUUGAUUUUUGGAACUGGGAGAUGGGAAAAGGGGCUUGCCCCGUCCACUCCACGCAUCGACCUGGUAUUGCAGUACCUCCAGGACCGGUGCACCCCUC
rnacentral:snRNA from 10 species